GGGUUCAUAGCUCAGAUGGUUAGAGCGCUACAUUGACAUUGUAGAGGUCGGCAGUUCGAAUCUGCCUGAACCCACCA
rnacentral:tRNA from 1 species